rnacentral:rRNA from 1 species
GAUGAACGCUGGCGGCGUGCCUAAUACAUGCAAGUCGAGCGAACAGACGAGGAGCUUGCCUCUCUGACGUUAGCGGCGGACGGGUGAGUAACACGUGGAUAACCUAUCUUUUAGACUGGGAUAACUUCGGGAAACCGGAGCUCAUAUCGGAUAAUAUAUUGAACCGCAUGGUUCAAUAGUGAACGACGGUUUUGCUGUCACUUAUAGAUGGAUCCGCGCCGCAUUAGCUAGUUGGUAAGGUAACGGCUUACCAAGGCGACGAUGCGUAGCCGACCUGAGAGGAUGAUCAGCCACACUGGAACUGAGACACGGUCCAGACUCCUACGGGAGGCAGCAGUGGGGAAUCUUCCACAAUGGGCGAAAGCCUGACGGAGCAACGCCGCGUGAGUGAUGAAGGUCUUCGGAUCGUAAAACUCUGUUAUUAGGGAAGAACAGAUGUAUAUGUAACUAUGCACGUCUUGACGGUACCUAAACAGAAAGCCACGGCUAACUUCGUG